AGAGUUUGAUCCUGGCUCAGAACGAACGCUGGCGGCAUGCCUAACACAUGCAAGUCGAACGAAGUCUUCGGACUUAGUGGCGCACGGGUGCGUAACGCGUGGGAAUCUGCCCUUGGGUGCGGAAUAACUUCUCGAAAGGGAUGCUAAUACCGCAUAAUGUCGUAAGACCAAAGAUUUAUCGCCCAAGGAUGAGCCCGCGUAAGAUUAGCUAGUUGGUGGGGUAAAAGCCUACCAAGGCGACGAUCUUUAGCUGGUCUGAGAGGAUGAUCAGCCACACUGGGACUGAGACACGGCCCAGACUCCUACGGGAGGCAGCAGUGGGGAAUCUUAGACAAUGGGCGCAAGCCUGAUCUAGCCAUGCCGCGUGAUCGAUGAAGGCCUUAGGGUUGUAAAGAUCUUUCAGAUGGGAAGAUAAUGACUGUACCAUCAGAAGAAGCCCCGGCUAACUCCGUG
rnacentral:rRNA from 1 species